rnacentral:rRNA from 1 species
UGUGGGUAGCGGUGAAAUUCCAAUCGAGCCCGGAGAUAGCUGGUUCUCCCCGAAAUAGCUUUAGGGCUAGCCUCAAGGUGAGAGAUACGGAGGUAGAGCACUGAAUGUCCUAGGGGGUAUUGCACCUACCGAAGACUAUCAAACUCCGAAUGCCGUCAUCUUAUACUUGGGAGUCAGACUGUGGGUGAUAAGAUUCAUAGUCGAAAGGGCAACAGCCCAGAUCGUCAGCUAAGGUCCCUAAAUGUAAGUUAAGUGGUAAAGGAUGUGGGAUUGCACAGACAACCAGGAUGUUGGCUUAGAAGCAGCCACUCAUUCAAAGAGUGCGUAAUAGCUCACUGGUCGAGUGAUCCUGCGCCGAAGAUUUCCGGGGCUAAAACUUACUACCGAAGCUACGGCAUCAGUAAUGAUGGGUAGGGGAGCUUCCCAUACGGGUUGAAGCAUGACCGUAAGGACAUGUGGACAGUAUGGGAGUGAGAAUGUUGGCAUGAGUAGCGAGAUGUGGGUGGGAAUCCCACAGGCCGUAAACCCAAGGUUUCCAGGGGAAGGUUCGUCCGCCCUGGGUUAGUCGGGACCUAAGCUGAGGCCGAAAGGCGUAGGUGAUGGACAACAGGUUGAUAUUCCUGUACUACCGAUAACCGUUUGAGAGAAGGGAUGACACAGUAGGAUAAGCUAAGCACACUGUUGGUUAUGUGUGCCCAAGCAUUGAGGCAGUCAAAGUAGGCAAAUCCGCUUUGAUAAUGCUGGGAUGUGAUGGGGAGCGAAAUUUAGUAGCGAAGUAGCUGAUUUCACACUGUCAAGAAAAGUCUCUAUCGAGGUUAAAGGUACCCGUACCGCAAACCGACACAGGUGGGUGAGGAGAGUAUCCUAAGGCCAGCGAGAGAACUGUUGUUAAGGAACUCGGCAAAAUGACCCCGUAACUUAGGGAUAAGGGGUGCCACCAUCAGGUGGCCGCAGAGAAUAGGCCCAAGCGACUGUUUACCAAAAACAUAGGUUUCUGCUAAGUCGCAAGACGAUGUAUAGGAGCUGACGCCUGCCCGGUGCUGGAAGGUUAAGGGGAUCUGUUAGAGCAAUCGAAGCAGUGAACUUAAGCCCCAGUAAACGGCGGCCGUAACUAUAACGGUCCUAAGGUAGCGAAAUUCCUUGUCGGGUAAGUUCCGACCCGCACGAAAGGCGUAACGAUUUGGGCACUGUC